rnacentral:rRNA from 1 species
GACGAACGCUGGCGGCGUGCUUAACACAUGCAAGUCGAACGGGAAGGCCCUGCUUUUGUGGGGUGCUCGAGUGGCGAACGGGUGAGUAACACGUGAGUAACCUGCCCUUGACUUUGGGAUAACUUCAGGAAACUGGGGCUAAUACCGGGUAGGAGCUCCUGCUGCAUGGUGGGGGUUGGAAAGUUUCGGCGGUUGGGGAUGGACUCGCGGCUUAUCAGCUUGUUGGUGGGGUAGUGGCUUACCAAGGCUUUGACGGGUAGCCGGCCUGAGAGGGUGACCGGCCACAUUGGGACUGAGAUACGGCCCAGACUCCUACGGGAGGCAGCAGUGGGGAAUAUUGCACAAUGGGCGGAAGCCUGAUGCAGCAACGCCGCGUGCGGGAUGACGGCCUUCGGGUUGUAAACCGCUUUCGCCUGUGACGAAGCGUGAGUGACGGUAAUGGGUAAAGAAGCACCGGCUAACUACGUG